CAUUAUGGAUCAAAUUAUUGUUUCUGUACAAGUCCCGUCUCUGGCCACAGCAGCGCUCCCACUCAUUAUGGGUUCCUCCUGUAUAAAAGUUAGUAUGGACAAGACAAUAAUUGCUUACGGCCAUACCACCCUGAGCACGCGCGAUCUCGUCUGAUCUCGGAGGCUAAGCAGGGUCAACUCGAGCUCAUUGGCUGCAAUAGAGUUCCGGGUGUUGACGUUGUUGGGGCGGGGAAAACGUGGGCACCACCAUUUUGGCAGUAUUCGGCAGACUGGCGCUCUUGUGGUGGAGCAGACAUGGUCGAUAACUGUUGUGCACCAGGUUGCACAAAUAAACGAGGCAAAAAUAAAUGUACGUCGUUCUACCGCAUUCCUAAAGAUGCGGAGAGGCGAGCUAAGUGGAUCAGCGCCAUUAAAAGAGCCAGGAGCAAGCAAAAAAAGACUGAAAAAUGGGACCCCCCGGCUGUUGGAUUCCGCUUGUGCAGCGAUCACUUCAUAUCAGGGCCCGAAAGGACCAAGAGGUGAAAGGGGACCCCAGGGCCCUGACGGGAGGGACGGCAGACCUGGCAACCCCGGCCCUGCUGGGCCCCCAGGACCCCCUGGCCUCGGCAGAAACUUUGCUGCUCAGUAUGAUCACAACAAAGGCGCUGAUAUUGGUCCCGGCCCCAUGGGCCCGAAAGGACCAAGAGGUGAAAGGGGACCCCAGGGCCCUGACGGGAGGGACGGCAGACCUGGCAACCCCGGCCCUGCUGGGCCCCCAGGACCCCCUGGCCUCGGCAGAAACUUUGCUGCUCAGUAUGAUCACAACAAAGGCGCUGAUAUUGGUCCCGGCCCCAUGGGAAUGAUGGGAAUGAAAGGCCAACCUGGACUUCCCGGCCCCCCUGGAGAAGGAGUGAUAAUCCCUUGAGUCCGGACUUUGUUCCAUCUCUUUUCAACUACGUUCCAUCUCCAGAGAAGAGGAAAAGAAAAAUGAGACUGGAGGUUUUCAACAGACGACAGGGAGCAAAGCUACAGAAGAUGGAGCAGACAAAGCUAUCUGCGAAAGCCAUCCCUCCCAGAGCAUCAACAGAUUGUCCCCAAGACUGCAACAAGGAUCCUACUGCAGAGCAAAGUCCCACCACAGAGCCUUUGAAGGAAUCUACCCAUGAAGAACCUGGAAACGAUGUCCAGCCUGUUCUCCAUGAGGAGGAUCCAGCAACCCCACCAUGCACCACUGAAACCUGUGGUAAACGCGUCCAAUCUCUUGAGCAAGAAUGCCAAGCUCUGAGGACUGAAAAUAUGUUGUUGAAGGAAAAAAUGAAUAGGACUACACUGAAUGAGAUGAGCUUGCAUAACGAUGAUAAAAGGGUUCAUACUCUCACUGGUUUAUCAGCAUUCUCCAUUCUCAUGACAAUUUUUCAUAUUGUGGCUCCUUUUCUCCAACUUAAAUCUAGUUUAACAUGUUUUCAGCAGUACAUGUUAACUUUAAUUAAGCUUAGAAUGAACUUGUCCUUUGAGUUUUUGGCUUUUUAUUUUGACAUUGACUCAACCACUGUUUCAAAGCUCUUCAAACACUGCAUUAGUGUGAUGCAUUGUAGACUGGUGCCAAGUCUGGUGUUGUGGCCUGACAGAGAAUACUUAAGAAAAUCUCUUCCAUAUGCAUUUCGAAACCGUAGCUUUGAAAAGACAGUUUGCAUUAUAGAUUGUUUUGAAAUAUUUCUAGAGAAACCCAGUAGAUUGCUAGCCAGUGCUCAGUGUUACUCAUCAUACAAAUCACACCACACAAUGAAAUAUUUAAUUGCAAUUUGCCCUCGAGGUUCCAUUUGUUUCAUUUCCGCUGGAUGGGGAGGUCGCACAAGUGAUACGUUUAUCACAGAACAAAGUCACUUUUUAUCUCAUUUGCUCCCAGGGGACGUAGUUUUAGCGGACAGAGGUUGUCUGGUUAAAGAGUCCAUUGAGAGAUGCCAAGCUGAAUUAAAAAUUCCAGCAUUUACUCGUGGAUAGAAGCAGUUAGAUCCUGCUGACUUGGAGAACACCAGACGUCUAGCCUCUCUUAGGAUACAUAUUGAAAGAGUGAUAGGAGUUCUCCGUCAAAAGUACACAGUCUUGCAAAGCACUGUCCCCAUAUGUUUCACGGACAUAGACAGGGAAAAUGAUGUGGCCUACCUUGACAAGAUGGUGAGCGUGUGUUGUGCACUUACAAAUGUGUCUGAAUCUGUGGUGUCCUUCCAGUGAUGGGGAUUUACAGUAAAUUGAACUGAUGUGACUGGCUACAGAUGUGCUCAACCAGCAAAUAAACCUUUGUGACUCACACUUCUUGCUUGCUUGUCGUGACAUUAUUUUUAAUCACUCGCUAUUCUGAUGCGAUCACAUCGUUUCUCUUUGCAGAUCAAGCUGCACAUCCACCCAUUCUAACUUGAGUUCCACCCAAACAGAUAUUUGUUCUGGUGUGUUUUAUAUGAAUGACCCACCCAUGUUUCAUAUCCCUGAUUGCUACAGAUAU